rnacentral:rRNA from 15 species
CAUGGCCCAAACUCCUACAGAAGGCAGCCGUGGGGAAUUUUC